GGGGACCGGACAGGCCUCCUUCUUCUAGAGACCUGACUCCAGAGAGUCACAGCCUGUCUCCAUGCAGCGAUGACCCAUUUCUGCUUUCCUCCCCUGGCCAGCCACCUCCAGAAGCAGAUGAGAACAUAACGAUGGUGGCUGAGAAGACACAAGAGGUGCAGUCCUUGGGUUCCCUGGGCCAGGGGCUGCCUCCUUCCUUCUCAGCCACAGCAGGUUGGGGGCUGGAGAUGCAGGGCCCCAGGCCGGGAGGAGGGGUGUGCUGACGCUGAUGGACUCAGGCAGCCGAGAGUGGCAGCUGCUUUCCUGCCCUUUCUGAGGAGUGAAGUGACUGACAGGAGCCCACAGUUCCCACAGAAGGCCUGCCCCAAGCAGGAGAAAGGUAUCCUGUGCUGGUUCCCUGUCUUAGAUUUUCUUCUCAGCUACAUCCCGGGAGGACAAAGAAGAAAACACGCAGGAGUUGUCACCUCCCUGUGAUGGUUGAGAUGGGUGUCUAGAAAAGGGCCAGAAAGCAACAAUGGUAUUUUUACCCUCUGCCUGCAGUGAGGCCCCGGAGCCAGCUUCCUGCAUUGGCACCACAGAAAGGGUAGUGGACAAGAAGCCCCAGGUCUGCUGAUGCUUCCGCAGCUCCAGGAAGGACGAGAAGCUACUGUCCCCAAAUCCACACCCUGCCUCGCACUGCCACAAUGCUGUUGCCAGGCCAGGUACCUCACACAGCAUACAGGGACCACAUUCCCCAGCCCAACAAACCACCCUGUUGCCAUGCAGCCCUUCCACAAUGGCACCCAGACAUCAUACUACCCAGCUACCACAGCACCCAGUCACCUCAGCACCCAGUCACCACAGCACCCAGCCACCACACUGCAGCCUGGCAUAAAGAGGGGUCCAGCCUUGGGGUCAGCAGCCUGUCCCUGCUCUGUGCAGAAAGGCCUUGCUAGAAUGUUUCUGUGUAUCACUGCCAUCUUGGAGAAACAUCUUGGGUUUGUUUCAGCCAAGAGAGAUGCAGACUGGACAAAGCCAGCUCUGCGUCUCGUUAUUAAAUUGGACGAUAUUGUA